GAUGUAGAGCUGGCGGUGCCUGACGGCGCGUCUGACGCGGAGUUGGGUGGGGUAGAGAGUAGGGGGCGGUAGUCGGGGGUGGUGGGAGAAGGAGGAGGCGGCGGCGAAUCACUUAUAAAUGGCGCCGAAGCAGGACCUGAAGCCUAAAUUCCAGGAGGGUGAGCGGGUGCUGUGCUUUCAUGGACCUCUGCUUUAUGAAGCAAAGUGUGUAAAGGUUGCCAUAAAGGACAAACAAGUGAAAUAUUUUAUACAUUACAGUGGUUGGAAUAAAAAUUGGGAUGAAUGGGUUCCAGAAAGCAGAGUACUCAAAUACGUGGACACCAAUCUGCAGAAACAGCGAGAACUUCAAAAAGCCAAUCAGGAGCAGUAUGCAGAGGGGAAGAUGAGAGGGGCUGCCCCAGGAAAGAAGACAUCUGGUCUGCAACAGAAAAAUGUUGAAGUGAAAACAAAAAAGAACAAGCAGAAAACACCUGGAAAUGGAGAUGGUGGCAGUACCAGUGAGACACCUCAGCCUCCUCGCAAGAAAAGGGCCCGAGUAGAUCCUACUGUUGAAAACGAGGAAACAUUCAUGAACAGAGUUGAAGUUAAAGUCAAGAUUCCUGAAGAACUGAAACCAUGGCUUGUUGAUGACUGGGACUUA